UAACAAGGAUUCCCCUAGUAACUGCGAGUGAAGCGGGAAAAGCUCAAAUUUAAAAUCUGGUAGCUUUGGCUGCCCGAGUUGUAGUCUGGAGAAGUGUUUUCUGUGCUGGACCGUGUACAAGUCUCUUGGAACAGAGCGUCAUAGAGGGUGAGAAUCCCGUCUUUGACACGGACUGCCAGUGCUAUGUGAUGCGCUCUCAAAGAGUCGAGUUGUUUGGGAAUGCAGCUCAAAAUGGGUGGUAAAUUCCAUCUAAAGCUAAAUAUUGGCGAGAGACCGAUAGCGAACAAGUACCGUGAGGGAAAGAUGAAAAGCACUUUGGAAAGAGAGUUAAACAGUACGUGAAAUUGCUGAAAGGGAAACGCUUGAAGUCAGUCGCGUCGAUCAGAACUCAGCCUGGCUUUUGCCUGGUGCAUUUUCUGGUAGACGGGCCAGCAUCCAUUUUGACUGCUGGAGAAAGGCCUCGGGAAUGUGGCACCUUCGGGUGUGUUAUAGCCCUUGGUUGCAUACAGCGGUUGGGAUGGAGGAUCUCAGCAUGCCUUUAUGGUCGGGGUUCGCCCACGUUCAUGCUUAGGAUGCUGGCGUAAUGGCUUUAAACGAC
rnacentral:rRNA from 1 species